UGAAAAUCUGAGGUGCCCGACGCAUAACAUUUUGAACGUGCCACGGAGGAUCAAGGCAAAAAACGAGAGCAAAAAAAGGUGCACGCUGAAGGCGGAAAUGAAGCAUGAUCUGGCUUGCAUCUGGUCAUGAAGAAAUUGCUGACACGUUAGUUGCAGUCCACCUCCACCAACAGGGUGGAAAACAAAGGUCGCCAUUCCGAUUAGCUGCUAUCUCCCAGUUCAAGCACUUUUGUGUCUGGACACUGGUUCCUGUGGAUGGGGUGUUACAAGCUUCACUGUCUGAUAUAGAAGGUACGUUACAUUAGUUCAGUUAAUUUGUCUUUUGCACAUUUUUGUUACUGUUAGCUGGAUUACUGUUGGACAUACAAUCCUUUGACACACCGAAGCUGAUGUCGCCUCUGAU